CAGUAGCCGCGGUAAUACGAAGGUCCCAAGCGUUGUUCGGAAUCACUGGGCGUAAAGGGAGCGUAGGCGGCGUGGUAAGUCAGAUGUGAAAUCCCGGGGCUCAACCCCGGAACUGCAUCCGAUACUGCCAUGCUUGAGGGUUGGAGAGGUAGCUGGAAUUCUCGGUGUAGCAGUGAAAUGCGUGGAUAUCGAGAGGAACACUCGUGGCGAAGGCGAGCUACUGGACAACAUCUGACGCUGAGGCUCGAAGGCUAGGGUAGCGAAAGGGAUUAGAUACCCCAGUAGUCCCUGUCUCUUAUAC
rnacentral:rRNA from 1 species